CUUCUAUUCGAUUAUGAGAAAAUAGAUUUUUCCUGCUCAAUGUUUAAAAAUAAAUAGCUGCAGUAUUCUGACUGUGCUAAGGUAGCAUGGUAAUUUGCUCUAUAAUUGAGAGCUGGGAUGAAAGGGGGGACGAUACUAUUUUUUUAUUAAUAGCAGUAAAAUAAGUUUAUUUUUUCGUUCAAAAGCGAAGCUUUUUUAAAGGGGCGAUAAGACCCUGUGAAACUUUAUCUAAACACAAGGUGUGUAGUUAUUUAAAUACUUUUUGUAUGGAUUGAGCUGGGGCGGCAGGUUAAAUUUACUUGACUAUUUCUAACAAAGUUAUUUGAUUUAUUUGGAAGAACUCUUAAAAGAAAGUUUGAACAAGUUACUUCAGGGAUAACAGCAUAAUUUUUCUAGACAGAUCUUAUGGAGAGAAAAGACUUAUGACCUCGAUGUUGAAUUGAAAAUCUUUCCCCAAGUAGGCAUGGGGAGAAGGGGGUCUGUUCGACCUGUAAAUUUUC
rnacentral:rRNA from 1 species